ACAGAGUCUUCUCACUCUGUCGCCCAGGCUGGAGUGCAGUGGUGUGAUCUUGGCUCACUGCAACCUCUACCUCCUGGGUUCAAGUGAUUCUCCUGCCUCAGUCUCCCAAGUAGCUGGGAUUAUAGACGUGCCUGCUUCCCCUUCGCCUUCUGCCGUGAUUGUCAGUUUCCUGAGGCCUCCCCAGCCAUGCUUCCUGUACAGCCUGCAGAACUGCUGGGAAGUCCAAGAUCAAGGUGCUGGCAUUUUGCCAGGGCCUUCUUGCUGUGUCACCACAUCCAUGGCUGAAGGUAGAAGGGUCAAGAGAGAGUGAGAAGCUAGGCACGGUGGUUCACGCCUGUAAUCCCAGCACUUUGGUUCACGCCUGUAAUCCCAGCACUUUGGGAGGCCAAGGUGGGUGGAUUACUUGAGCUCAGGAGUUCAAGACCAGCCUGGACAAUAUGGUGAAACCCUGUCUCCACCAAAAAUACAAAAAAAAAUUAGCCAGGCAUGGUGGCGUGCAACUGUAGUCCCAGCUACUCAGGAGGCUGAGGUGGGAGGAUUACUUGAGCCCAAGAGGAGGAGGCUGCAGUGAGUCAACAUUGCACCACUGCACUCCAGCCUGGGCAACAGAGUGUGACCCCAUCUCAAAAAAAAAAAAAAAAAAAAGAGAGAGGGUGAGAAAGAAAAAGAGAGCUGAACUCGCCCUUUUAUAACAAACCCACUCUAGCAAUAACAACAUUAAUCAUUCACUGCACCCUCAUGGCCUAAUUGUCACAGGACAGACUCCAAAAUUGGGGUUCAUCUUGGAAGGCCACACAGAUUUUUGGCUUUGUGCAGGAAGGAAUUCAAGAGCAAGCUGACAGAGUGAAGUGAAAGCAAGUUUAUUAAGAAAAUAAAGGAAGAAAAGGGUGGCUACUCCAUAGGCAGAGCAGCCCUGAGGGCUUCUGGUUGGCUAUUUUUAUGGUUAUUUCUUGAUCAUAUGCUAAACAAGGGGUGGACUAUUCAUGAGUUUUCCAGGAAAAGAGGCAGGGAAUUCCCAGAACUGAGAGUUCCUCUCACUUUCAGACCAUAUAAGAUAACUUUCGGAUGCUCUCAUGGCAUUUGUAAAUUGUCAUGGUGCUGGUGGGGCUUUCCUUUGGUAUGCUAAUGUAUUAUAAUCAGGGUGUAAAGAGCAGCGAGGAUGACCAGAAGUUGCUAUAAUCGCCAUCUUGGUUUUGGUUGGCUUUUUUUUUUUUUUUUUUUCUGAGACGAGCUCUUGCUUGCUCUGUCGCCUAGGCUGGAGUGUAGUGACGUAACUAUAUAUCACUGCAGCCUAGACCACCUGGGCUCAAGCAAUCCUCCUGCCUCGGCCUCCCAAGUAGCUGGGACUACAGGCACAUGCCACCACACCCAGCUAUUUUUUUGUAUUUUUAAUAGAGGUGAGGUCUUGCUAUGUUGCCCAGGCUGGGCUUGAACUUCUGAGCUCAAGCAAUCCUCCAAGUUUGGCCUCCCAAAGUGCUGGGAUUACAGGCAUGAGCCACCGUACCUGGUCUUGGCAAGCUUCUUUACUGCACCCUGUUUUAUCAGCAGUCUUUGUGAUCUGUGUCUUGUGAAACCAGUCCUGGUGAACUCCUAUCUCAUAAUCACGUCUCAUUAGGCCCACCUACCAAUACUGUUGCAUUGGGGAUUAAGUUCCCAUCACAUGCUCUUUGGGGGGAUACUUUUUUUUUUUUUUUGAGAUGGAGUCUUGCUGUGACAUCCAGGCUGGAGUGCAAUGGCACAACCUCGGAUCACUGCAAACUCUGCCUUCUGUUUUCAAGUGAUUCUCCUGCCUCAGCCUCCUGAGUAGCUGGAACUAUAGACAUGCACCACCAAGCCCAGCUAAUUUUUGUAUUUUUAAUAGAGAUGGGGUUUCACCAUGUUGGCCAGGCUGGUCUCGAGCUCCUGAGUUCAGGUGAUCCGCCUGCCUCAGCCUCCCACAGUGCUUGGAUUCCAGGCAUGAACUGCCAUGCCCGGCCUAGGGGAUACUUUCAAACCAUAGAAGGGCUCUUAUCCCCUAUGCUCAUGUUUUCCCCCUCUACUGCUCUGGAGUGAAUUAGAUUAUGCUGACAUUCCUGGGCCCUCGUCUCUAUCCCCUCCUUAAAGGAGUAAGAUGCUUCGUAGUGGUGAGAAUGGCGUUUCCUAAUCCCCACCUGAUAUGGUUUGAAUAUGUGUCUCCACCCAAAUCUCAUGUUGAAAUGUAAUCCCUGAUGCUGAAGGUGGGUCCUGGUGGGAGGUGAUUGGACCAUGGGGGUAGUUUCUCAUGGUUUAGUACCAUCCCCCCCUUGGUACUAUACAGUAAGUUAGUUCUCAUAAGACAUGGUUGUUUAAAAGUGUGAGGCACCUCCCCUGUCUCUCUUCCUCCUGCUCCUGCCAUGUAAGACGUGCCUCUCCUUUCUCUUCACCUUCUGCCACGAUUGUAAGUUUCCCAAGACCUCCUCAGCCAUGCUUCCUAUACAGUCUGCAGAACCAGAAGCCAAUUAAACAUCUUCCCUUUAAAAAUUACCCAGUCUCAGGUAUUUCUUUAUAGCAAUGUGAGAACAGACUAAUACACUACCUGAGCAAGGGUUAAUGUGUUGGCAGACAGCCUAAGCCCUCUGAUUUACUGAGUCACAGGCACAAAGGAACUGCAGGCUCCUCCCUGCAGGUGCAUAGAGGGACCCUCUCUCUCCCAUCAGCAUGCACACAAAUCUUGCAGGGGAAUGGAGGCCCCAGUUGAUUGAAAAAACUAUUUUGACUUUUCAACAGUCCAAGUUAUUUCAUCCAACUUCUCCUAAGCAAAUAAUCAGAGUAUAAAUUUCUAGUAGUUCUCAGUAAGAGACAAUUAGCUACCCAGUUAAUUAGCUUCCUCAAUAAGGGGGGAGGCAAAGACAUUAACGGAGGCUUCAGUGUGUUUGAUAAGUGUUUGCAAGUAGAAGAAGCCCAGAGAAUUGCAGAACGUUUGCCUGCUGCGAUUUUUUUUUCUUUUUCUUUUUUUUUCAGACAGAGUCUUGCUCUGUCACCCAGGCUGGAGUGCAGUGGCGCAAUCUCAGCUCACUGCAAGCUCCGCCUCCCAAGUUCACGCCAUUCUCCUGCCUCAGCCUCCCGAGUAGCUGGGACUACAGGGCCUGCCACCACGCCCGGCUAAUUUUUUGUAUUUUUAGUAGAGACGGGGUUUCACUGUGUUAGCCAGGAUGGUCUCGAUCUCCUGACCUCGUGAUCCGCCCACCUCGGCCACCCAAAGUGCUGGGAUUACAGGCAUGAGCCACCGCGCCUGGCCUGCAGAUUUUUUUUUUUUUACAAAGAUGUGCUGUCUUUGUUCCCCCAGAAAUGUGUGGUUUCCCUGACAGUCAGAUGCAUCCCUGCCUGCCUUAAACAAACAAAGGUCUGUGAUCACUUUCUUUAACAUCAAGGCCAGAGUUCCUGAAAUCAAUGAGAAAUUCUAAACAUACCAGGAUGCCUUACAAACAGGUGGGCUUUUUGUUCUCCAGAUAAUGCAAUGAAUUUAAAACAUUGUACCAAACAUCUUCAAAACCUAGUCAUGAAAGUAACAUGCUUUAUUACAUUAAAUGAAAUUAAAUCAGUAGAGGACAAAUGCACUAAGGAGGCUAAUGGCCACCAUGAUUAGUCACUGCUAACUUGCAUGAAAUCAAUAGUAACCAAGAGGAGUUCAUCAGUUUGCACUGAAACAAAACGUGAGAGAAGAAUCCAGCAUACUGGAAGAACAACGAAAAAGAUUAAAUAAUCUUUUAGCUGGGAAAAAUAUGUUGUUUUGAAUAUUUUGAGUUUAUUUUAACUUCAACGAUAAGCUUAAUUCCAAUUUCAGGAUAUUAUUUAAGGAAAAGCUUAGACGUGUACUCCACAAAGAAUUAAGAAACACAAGUCCUCAUAACUUUUAUUAUGUUCUUUUGAUUAAAAUAAUACAUAUUCAUUCCUAUAUGCUCCUUCAUAUUACAAAUGAUUUUUACAUCAUGAAGAUGAUGCUAUUCUGUGUUCUGUAUUCUGUUUCGAACUUAGAAUUAUACUUCAUAAACAUCUUCUGUGACUAAAACUUCUCCAAAAACUUUCACUGGCUGCUGGCGUUCCACUAAAAGUGUCAUCAAUGACCCCAUCAAAGGAUAUUUUUCUGUCAUCCUCCCAGAAUUCACUUCUCAUUGGCAUCUGGUCCUGUCAAUUCUUCUUUUUUUUUUUUUUUUUUUUUGAGAUAGAGUCUUGCUCUGUCACCCAGGCUUGGAGUGCAGUGGUGCGAUCUCACCUCACUGCAACCUCCGCCUCCCAGGCUUAAGCGAUUCUCCUUCCUCAGCCUCCCAAGUAGCUGGGACUACAGGUGUGUGCCACCACCUCCAGCUAAUUUUUUGUAUUCUUAGCAGAGACAAGGUUUCACCAUGUUAGCUAGGCUAGGCUCAAACUCCUGCCUCAAGUGAUCUGCCUGCCUCGGCCUCUCAAUGUGCUGGGAUAACAGAUAUGAGCCACCGUGCCUGGCUGAUUAGUCUUUUCUUGAUCCACUCUUCCCACUGGAUUUCUGUGACUCCACGGCCUGGUGUCUCUCCUAAAACUGCCUUUGCAAAAAAUUAUAACAGUAAGGAAAUGACGACAGUGAAAGAUUGGAUCUCACCAAUCCCCAUCUUGCCUUCAACAUCCAAACUGCCUUUAAUCAUAUCUGGGCUUGGGCCAAGCAAACUUUGGGAGACAUUUAGUUUAUAGUUUAAAUGAUAAUAUCCCUUCUCCAAAACUCAACCGCCUUCGUAAAGCUAAUGAGAGACCACCAGGCGAGGAGGAUGAGAAGAGUCUGAAUUCUGCUGAGAUGUAGACUAAACAAUUACCAGCCAUUAUUCCAGAGGUCACAAGAUUUGCAACCCCCCAAUAACUCCUACAGAUAACGUCACUAUUACAGAAACUAAGAUUGGCCUUUUGAGAUAAGGUUUCAGGUUUGUGCAUUUCCGACAACCAACGGCUCCACUUGGACCCACCAAACUCCCUCUGGCCCCACCCAGAAGUGAACUCGGCAGACAAGGACCAUUUUUCACACCCCUAUGAUUGCAUCCCCAACCGAUUAGCAGCACCCCUACCCUAGCCCCCUGCCCACCAAAUUAUCAUUACCUCUGAAUUUUCAGGGAGAUCAAGUUGAGUAAUAAUAAAACUCCAGUCUCUCAUUCAGCUAGCUGUAUGUGAAGUAAGCUCUUUCUCUAUUGCAAUUGCCCUGUCUGGGUAAGUCAGCUGUCUCUGGACAGCCAGCAAAAUGAACUCAUUGCACACGGUUACACUCUCAUCUCUACCUGCUGUAGACUCGCCUCCUCUGUUGGAGCUCAUCAAGGCUGGGUCUCUCCUGUUCUCAUUUUAUUCUCUCUCCUUAGGUGAUCUCAGCCCUCCUCCAGGCUUCGAUUAUAACUUACAGGAUUGUGAUUCACACAUUUCAGUUUCCAUCACAGGCCCCUCCAGACAUGUCCAUCUGCCUGCUGUGUUGACUUUUCCCUUUGGAGUCUUGAGGCAGCUACAAGCUUACUGACCAGAAAUGAACUCAAGCUCUCCCUGAAGCCUGGUCCUCUUCCAGGAUCAGCCAGCCUGGAAGAUGGCACUGUCAUCCACCCUGUUCUCAGGCCUGCCACCCAGGAGUCAACCUUAGCCCCAUCUAAUUGUCAGAGGCAUCUGAACCAGAGCAACUCCAUCUUGAGUAGGGGAUGGGUAAAAUGAGGCUGAGACCUGCUGGGCUGCAUUCCCAGACAGCCAAGGCAUUAGCCACAGGAUAAGAUAGGCAGUCGGUACAAGACACAGGUCAUAAAGACCUUGCUGAUAAAACAGUUUGCAGUAAAGAAGCCAGCCAAAACCCACUAAAACCAAGAUGGCAACCAGAGUGACCUCUGGUCGUCCUCACUGCUACCCUCCCACCAGCACCAUGACAGUUUACAAAUGCCAUGGCAAUGUCAGAAAGUUACCCUACAGGGUCUAAAAAGGGGAGGCAUGAAUAAUCUACCCCUUGUUUAGCAUAUCAUCAAGAAAUAACCAUAAAAAUAGGCAACCAGCAGCCCUCAGGGAUGCUCUGUCUAUGGAGUAGUCAUUCUUUUGUUCCUUUACUCUCUUAAUAAACUUGCUUUCACUUUACUCUAUGGACUCGCCCUGAAUUCUCUCUUGUGCAAGAUCCAAGAACCCUCUCUUGGGUUCUGGAUCGGGACCCCUUUCCUGUAACAUAAUCAAUUUGGUGCCAAAUGCAUGAAGUGUUAUCUUCUAGGUCUCUCAAAUCCAUCCACUGUUCUCCAUCCAGGAGAGUGUCACCAGGGCUGGCACAGAUGGUUGCAUACUGCAGAAAGGUCACCACCCAAGCCAUUACCUCUCACCUGUUCCAUGAAAAUACCAACUCAUCUCCUUCCCUUUUGGCCUCUCCAAGCCAUAUUCCAACCCACAGCUAAAAUGAUUUCAUUAAAAUGCAAAUCUAAUGUUGUUCCUUUGCAUAAUUGCUCUGGGGAGAGGUCUGGCCUCUGUCUCCCUGAGUCAUCACCCAUUAUGUGUCCCUGGUGUCCCCAUGUGGCCUGGCUCUUUCCUUCACUUUCCACAUCAUCCUUCAGCUCCAGCCACUGUGGCCUUCCUGCAGCUGCCCAGGUGUGUCACGCUCCAGUAUUUGUCCAUUUUCACGCUGCUGAUAAAGACAUACCUGAGACUGGGUAAUUUAUAAAGAAAAAGAGGUUUAAUGGACUCACAGUUCCACGUGGCUGGGGAGGCCUCACAAUCACGGUGGAAGGUGAAAGUGACGUCUUACAUGGUGGCAGACAAGAGAAGAGAACUUGUGCAGGGAAACUCCCCUUUAUAAAACCAUCAGAUCUUGUGAGACUUAUUCACUAUCUCGAGAAUAGCACAGGAAAGACCCACCUCCAUGUUUCAAUUACCUCCCACUUGGUCCCUCCCGCAAAACAUUAGAAUUAUGGGAGCUACAAUUCCAGAUGAGAUUUGGGUGGGGACAGAGUCAAACCGUAUCAGUCUCCAUAAAUGCCCUAUGAUGUAAUCUAUAAUUAUCCCAAUUUUUUUGUUUGUUUUUUUUUUUUUGAGAUGGAGUCUCACUCUGUCACUCAGGCUGAAGUGCAGUUGCACAAUCUCCACUCACUGCAACCUCUGCCACUCAGGUUUAAGCAAUUCUCCUGCUGCAGCCUCUGCCACCCAGAUUCAAGCAGUUCUCCUGCCUCAGCCUCCCAAGUAGCUGUGAUUACAGAUGUGCACCACCACGUUCAGUUAAUGUUCGUAUUUUUAGUAGAGACGGGGUUUCACCAUGUUGGCCAGGCUGGUCUCAAACUUCUGACCUCAAGUGAUUCGCCCGCCUCGGCCUCCUAAAGUGCUGGGAUUACAGGCGUGAGCCAUGGUGCCCACCCAGCCAUUAUCCCCAUUUUAAAAAAUGAGGAAGCGGAGUCCCAUAGGGCUAAAGUAAUUGGCCCAGGGCCAUAAAAUCAUUAAGUAGCAGAGCCUGGAUUUCUUAAGCAGGCCCCAGAGUCCAAGUCCUUAACCAUUAUACUCCUGUCUCUCUAAUGACACAGCAAGGUCAGAAAUGCUGCUCUAGUUGGUAAGCGAAGAAAGUGAGCUGGUUGAGCUGUGGUACAGAAAGCCAGUGCUUGCUAGCAUGUCCACACUGAACCAGGAUACAGCCCUCCCUUCCCAUUUCACAUAUAGAGACAAAAAAGAAAAUUCAUGUUAUCAGCGGUCUGUCCUACUGAGAAAUAAAGUCUUUGCUUCCUUAACCAAUUCAGCAGUCAAAGGUGUGCUUUGAAGAUGUGCUUAGGAAUAUUCUCCUGAUUCCCUAGAAGUCGGAGUGGACUACGCAUUCCCUCUCUCACCCAGCUCUUCCAGCUCUCAUCCUGGUGCCCCACACCAAGAGAGGGCCCAGGUCUCUCCACAGGUCAUGUGGGCCAGACCCUGCCUCCAUCAGAACUGCCCCAAUCUAUCCACUCCUAGAACUGUCUCUGCAAGAAAAUCAGCCUGAGGUUUUUGUGGCACAAAGAUGUAUCCCCAUUCAUUCCAAGUAGCAAAUGCAUUUUCUGGAAACAUAGUGCUUGAAUCCAGCAUGAUGAGUCAUAUGGCAGAAGGGAGAAGCCAGCAGAGGAAGGGCCCUUGGGACCAUCCCAGCCCCCAGGAGCUGGCCCUCUCUGCAGGAACCAUCUGGUUCCAUAGCAUGCUUUCUAAGCUCCCAUAUAUAUUUUUAAAUCAACUAUAUGGAAGCGUAAGGUAAAUAAAUACACUGCAUCUAUUUAAAGUGUGCAAUCUGAUGAGUUUUGCCAGAUGUGUGCACCUGUGAAGCUGCUCUUGAAAUCAAGAUUCAGAACAUUUCCAUCUCCCUCAAGGAUUUCUCAUGCUCCUUUUCUAACCCCAGCUCUCAGGCAGCCACCACUUGCCCACUGUGAGACAUUUGUUUUCUAUAUUCAGUUUGGGAUUGGGCAUUUGGAAUUUUUCCAAAGGCAGCAUCCUCUGUAGAUGUCUACAGGCCCCUGGAGACAGAGCAUCUUCUCAGGCCUGUAUCCUCCAUGCCUGGGACUGGGUCCUUGCUCUCAGGACAGCCUAGAGGGGCUCCUGUCCACUGCUGGGCUGCCUCUUUCUUUGCUUGGCCCAGCUUCCCAAACACCCAGGAUAAUAAAGGAGAAACUCUGUCAAUUUCAAUAAUAUGCACAUGUACUUGCAGUCAUAAGAAACCAUUCUUCUGGGCUUUAACCAAGCAAUAAAUAAAUUUACUCCAAAGCAGAUCUGAAUUAAUGGAAUAUAUCUCUCUGUCUCUUGAGUAGAAGCUGGGAAACCUGAACUUUUCUUUUUUGGUGUUUGUUUUAGAGAUAGGAUCUUGCUCUGUCACCUAGGCUGGAAUGCAGUGGUGCAGUCAUAGUUCACUGCAGCCUUAACUUCCUGGGCUCAAGUGAUCCUCCUGCCUCAGCCUCCCGAGUAGCUGGGACUACAAGCAUGUGCCACCAUGCCCAGCUAGUUUAUUUUAUUUUAUUUUUAUAGAGACGGUGUUUCACUAUGUUACCCAGGCUGGUCUUGAACUCCUAGCCUCAAGUGAUCCUCCUGCCUCACCCUCCCAAAGUGCUGGGAUUACAGGUGUGAGCCCCUGUGCCCAGCCAAGAAACCUACAUUUUGCAUUUAGCCAUUGUUUUCUACACUGACUGCUGGAUUUUAAAAUCAAGAGAAAGGCCUCUAAUAGGAAAGCAAUUGCAAGCCAUGUUUUUAUUGAUAAUCUGAUGGAUUUUGCCGUGUUCUGGAGUCAUUCUGCAAUUAUUUAUCUGGUUUUUGUUUAUCUGGCUGUAACCUGCAUAUUCUAGUUUUCCUUCAAGGCUGUUAAAUUUGGGUUAAUAGUUGUAUGUGUCUCUUAGAUCACCUCAAAUGGAAAAUUCUUUUCCCCUAAAUGAGAAUUAAUUGUAUUUGAGCUCAGAGGGUUUUUUCCUAAUCCAUUAGGGUGUGGAUAAUGACGUUCAUUUCUCCUCAUGAGCCCAGGAGCCAAAUAGAGUAAUCCCAUUCACUUCCAAAGACAUUUAUAGAGCAUUUGAUUUUUGCAAGAUACUUUUGUUGGUCCUUAAUGCUGGAUAAAAAUGGGUAUAAUGCUGCUAAAAAUAACAAUAAGAAAAUCCUAUAGCAAAGAAAGACACAUUUAUAAAAUACGAGAUUAUGUAAGUUGGAACAAUCAUAUCUGGGUGGGGGCUAUAUGGAGCCAGUGGAGACAGGGUGGGGCUAGGGAGAGAAUAUCCUGCAUAUACAGGGAAGGCAGGCUGGACGGUCAGCUGUUGUUGAGAAACCUCAUAUCAUCUAUCAGACUAAGCCAGAAAAGCAAGAGUUACACCUGAAAAGGUAAGUGGGACCAUAGAGUAAAAAGUCAUGGUAGAAAGUUUAUUCUUAAAUUGGUGGACCAUGAGAGCAAUGGAAGAUUGAGGCAAGGAAUGGUAUGGUUAUAACCUGCAGGACUGGGUAGGGUAGAUGGGAACUGUGAGGGUCUGGAGGCAAGAGAACCAGUGAUAAAGAUCUGUCUUUAUCUGCAUCUGUCUCAGAAUAGUAAGAAUAUUCGGGUCUCAGAAUAGUCUGGAAUUUUGGGAGGAAAUAUUUAGAGGCAGGAAUUGGAGGACAUGCAAAUUUGUGGAUGAAAGGAUGAGGGAGGGGAAGGGCGCAAAGUUGAUUCAAGUGCACAAGUCUAGAACUAGGGGACUCUGGGUGCGUAACAGGGAGCUAAUUGUCUAUUGGCUCCACACUGCAGGAAUGAGAGUCACAAGUUUCAGGCAGUCGUAAACUCAGAGAAUAAUGCAUUAUCCAUCCUUCUCCUCCCACUAGCAGGAUUACCUUGGCAACAGUGAGCAUCAUCAUACCAAGAUGAUAGAUUUCACAGAUAGUGGCUUGGCCAUAAUUUGGUGAAUGAGCAUCACAGUAAUGAAAUAGCUUUCAGUAGUAGAGUACAUUAGAUACUUUGAAGGGUCUCCCUGCUCUCAUAUAGACAGAUUUUAGAUAAACUAUAACAAAUAUUAUUUAGAUUUUUCUUCUAGGCUCAUAAGAAAGUGGUUGUAUCAGCCGGGAGUGGUGGCUCAUGCCUAUAAUCCCAGCACUUUGGGAGGCCUACUCAGGCAGAUCACCUGAGGUCAGGAGUUCAAGACCAGCCUGGCCAACAUGGCAAAACCCUGUCUCUACUAAAAGUAUAAACAUUAGCCAGGCGUGGUGGUGGGUGCCUGUAAUCCCAGCUACUCAGGAGGCUGAGGCAGGAGAAUUGCUUGAAUCUGGGAGGCAGAGGUUACAGCGAGCCAUGAUCACGCCACUGCACUCCAGCCUGCGCAACAAGAGCGAGACUCUGUCUCAAAAAAAAAAAAGAAAGAAAGUGGUUGUAUCAGUGAGCUUUUGCUGCAUAACAAAUUAUCCCAAGACAUUUUCAGAUAAACUAAAUCUGACAGUGUGUCUGUCCUAUGACAGACAGUCACCAAAGGAACUUCUAAAGAAUGUACUGUAGGAAAAAGGAAAAUGACUGCAGAAGGAUGUCUUGAGGCAAGAAUGAAUUAUAAGCAAAGAAAUUUAUAAACACAUAAAUCUAUGCAAACAUUUAUUGCAUAAAAUCAUAAGAAUAAUGUCUAAUUUGGGGAACAAGGGAGAUAUAACCAAAAUACUGAACUAUUAGAAGGAAGUGAUCAGAUUUGGUAUCCUAAUGUCUUUGAAUUUUAUUGAGGGGAAGCAGAUGUUAAGAUAUUUUAUAAAAUUAGAUUUUGCAAAGUUGUCACUGGUUAAAUUUGAAGAGUAAACAAUAAAAUAAUAGAAAUGGAGUGUGAUUUUUAAAUCUGUAGAGGGGAACAAUGAAAUCUGAUAACAUGUCAACAAAUCAACCAAACGCAACUAAUCCAAGCAAAGGCAAGUAGAGGAGAAAGAAGGAAACAGAGGAGCCUGGACAAACAGAAAGCACAAAGAGAGAUGGUAGAAAUAAGUACAAAUAUAUCAUUAAUUACAAUGAAUAUGAAUGGAUUUAACUCUUCAGUUAAAAGACAGAGAUUGCCACCUUAAAUUUUUAAAACUCCAGCUGUAUUCCAUUUUCAAGAGACACAUAAAAAACCUCAGGAGAGCGCCAGGCCCAGUGGCUCACGCCUGUAAUCCCAGCACUUUGGGAGGCCGAGGGGGGCAGAUUGCCAGAACUCAGGAGUUUGAGACCAGCCUGGGCAACACGGUGAAACCCCGUCUCUACUAAAAUACAAAAAAUUAGCUGGGCAUGGCAGCGUGUGCCUGUAAUCCCAGCUACUCAGGAGGCUGAGGCAGGAGAAUUGCUUGAACCAGGGAGGUGUAGGUUGUAGUGAGCCAAGAUCAUGCCACUGCAUGCCAGCCUAGGCAACAGAGCAAGACUCCAUCUCAAAAAAAAAAAAAAAAUGACCAGGCGCAGUGGCUCACACCUGUAAUCCCAGCACUUCUUGAGGCUGAGGCCAGUGGAUCACGAGGUCAAGAUAUUGAUACCAUUCUGGCCAACAUGGUGAAACCCCGUCUCUACUACAAGUACAAAAAUUAGCCUGGCAUGGUGGCGCACCUGUAGUCCCAGCUACUCCGGAGUCUGAGGCAGGAGAAUCGCUUGAACCUGGGAGGCAGAGGUUGCAGUGAGCCGAGAUUGCGCCACUGCGCUCCAGCCUGGGUGACAGAGUGAGACUCUGUCUCAAAAAAAAAAAAACAAAACCCAAAAAACAAAAAAAAACCCUCAGGAGAGUGAAAUGUUGAAUUAAAAAGAUGGAAAGGGUUAUGUCAGGCAAAUUCUAAAGAGCAGAAAGCUGGGGUAACCUCGUUAAUAUCAAACAAACUAGCCUGUAGAUCAAAAUGCGUUAUUAAAGAUGAAUGCGGCCUGGACACAGUGGCUCAUGCCUGUAAUCCCAACACUUCGAGAGGCUGAAAUGGGAGAAUCAUUUGAGCCUAGGAGUUUGAGGCCAGCCUGGGCAAAAUAGUGAGACCCUGUCUCUAUGAUUUUUUUUUUUUUAAAUAACCAGGUGUUAUGGCAUGCACCUGUAGUCCCAGCUACUUGGGAGGCUGAGGCAGGAGGAUCACGUAUGCGCAGGAGUUGGAGGCUGCAAUGAACUAUGAUCACUUUACUGCACUGCAGCCUGAGUGACAGUGAGACCCCUGUCUCAGAAAAAAAAUAAGGUGAAGUGUGUCAGUGUAUGAUGAUAAAAUAUUCCGUUUUCCAGUAAGAUAGAAUAAUUAUUGGCCAGGCACAGUGGCUCACGCCUGUAAUCCCAGCAGUUUGGGAGGCCAAGGCGGGCAGAUCUCUUGAGGCUAGGAGUUCAAGACCAGCCUGGCCAACAUAGCGAAAGCCCAUGUCUACUAAAAAUACAACAACAACAAAAAACUAGCCAGGCACAGUGGUGCACACCUGUAGUCCCAGAUACUCAGGAGUCUAAGGCCCAAGAAUCACUUGAGCCCAGGUGGCGGAGGUUGCAGUGAGCCGAGAUCGCGCCACUGCACUACAGUUUGGGUGACAUAGUGAGACUCUUUCUCAAAAAAAAAAAAAAAAGAAGAAUUCUUAACUACUUAACUUGUAUGCAUUCUCAAAUCUGUCUUCUAACCUUCACUGUCACACUUGAGUUCAGACCUUCAUCCGCCCCUCUACUUCCAUCCUCAUUGCAGUUCAUUCUCCACUCAACAGACAGUGUGGUCAGCCUAAAAUUCAGAUGGCUUUUGAUGAGAAAGCCCCGAUUCCUGAGCUUGAUGGACCCCAUCUAGUGGAGUCUCACCUGCACUAGACCCAGCUCCCCCACCUCUAUACUCCAUCAUGGUGAAAGCUAUGCUUGGGUUCUCCAAAACACCACAUUUCCUCUGGUCUCCAGGCCUUUAAACAGCUGCUCCAUAUUCCUGGUCUGAUCUGUUUUUCUCUUACUUGCCUAGUUGGCUGACUCCAUCAGGGCUUGACUUCAAUGCCUUCUCCUCUGGGAAUCCUUCUUUGACCUUCCUCUUUUGGAUGGGGACUCAUCCUAUUCUGCUUUUAUGAACCCACCGUGUAUUUCCUAGCAAUAUUUCACAUUUUAUCAUUGCCUUUUUACUUGCCUGACUCCAGUGAGUAAGCUGUGAACACCUCGAAAGCAAGCACUGUGUCAUUCAUUCAUGAUGUCAACAAAUAUUUAUCAAGCACCUACUAUAUGCCAGGCAUUCUUCUAAGAGCUAGAGAUAGAGCAGUGAACAAAAAAGUUAAGCAAACACACCCCUGCCUUCAUGCCACUCUCAUUCUAGCCAAGGGAGCCAAACAACAAACUGGGUAGGUAAGGAAAAUAGAUGGUUUAAUAGAAGAUAAUAGGUGUUUGCAGAGAAGUAAAGCAAGGAGAAAGAUAGGGAGUAAGGGGUAGAUGUGAAAUUUUAAAUAAGAUGAUCAAGGGAAAGUCUCAGCAAGAAUAUGACAUUUGGCUGGUCACGAUGGCUCACGCCUGUAAUCCCAGCACUUUGGGAGGCCAAGGUGGGCAGAUCACCUGAGGUCAGAAGUUCAAGACCAGCCUGGCCAACCUGGUGAAACCUUGUCUCUACUAAAAAUAUAAAAAUUAGCUGGGCAUGGUGGCAGGUGCCUGUAAUCCCGGCUACUCUGGAGGCUAAGGCAGAAGAAUCACUUGAACUCAGGAGGUGGAGGUUGCAGUGAGCCAAGAUCGCGCCAUUGUACUCCAGCCUGGACGACAGAGUGAGACUCUAUCUCAAAAAAGAAAAAAAAAGAAUAUGACAUUUAAGCAGAAACUUGAAAGAGGUGAGAGAGUGAGCCAUUCAAACAUCUGGAGGAGGCACUCCUGGGUAUCUACCCAAAGAAAAAGGAGUCAUCCUAUCAAAAAGAUGCCUGCACUUGUAUGUUCAUCACAGCACUAUCCACAAUAACAAAUUCAUGGAAUUAACCUAAGUGCGCAUCAAGAGUGGAUGGGAUAAAGAAAACGUGGUGUAAGUGUAUAUAUAUAUGUGUGUGUGUGUGUGUGUUUGUGUGUAUAUAUAUAUAUAUAUAUAUAUAUAUAUAUACACAUACAUGUCAUGGAACACUAUGCAACCAUAAAAAAGAAUGAAAUCAUAUCCUUUGCAGCAACAUAGAUGUAGCUGGAGGCCAUUAUCCUAAGUGAAUUAACAAAGGAACAGAAAACCUAAUACCACAUGUUCUCACUUAUAAGUGGGAGCUAAACAUUGGACAUAGAAAUGGAAACAAUAGACACUGUGGACUACCAGAGUAGAGAGAGAGGGAGGAGGGUAAGGGUUGAAAAGUGCCUACUGGGUACUAUGUUUACUAUUUGGGUGAUGGGUUCAGUAGAAGCCCAAACCUCAGCAUUAUGCAAUAUAUCCAUGAUACAAAUAUGUACACUACCCCCUGAAUCUAAAAUUUUUAAAAAUAUAAAAAGAGAAAGAUACCUAAAGGAAGAGUAUUCAAGAGAGAAGGAACAGCCAGUGCAAAGGCUCUGAGCAGGAGCAGGCAUGGACGGUUCACAGAUCAGCAGGGAGGCGCAUGUGGCUGGAUUAAAUAAGAUGAUCAAGGAAAAGUCUCAGCAAACAAUAUGACAUGUGGCCGGAAGUUCUGGAAGCUCAGAAAGCUAUUAUUGGAUUGCAAGACCCAUCGCAAGGAUCUUGGACUUUUAUUUUGGGUGAGAUUGGAAGCUUCCAGAAGAUUUUCAGCAGAGAGAUGGCACACCCUGACUCCAAUUUAAAGUAACAUGAUUUUAAAUAAUAUAGUAUUUUAAAAGCAGUCACUCUGGAUGGUGUGUUGAUAAAAAGCUGAGGGAGGCAAGGAGGGGGAACUGGGGAACCAGUUAGGAGGCCAUUGCACUAACCUUAUCAAGAAAGGAAGUUGGCUUAGAACAGGGAGGUAGCUGUGGAGGUGAAAUCUGGAUAUGAUUUGCUAAUGGAUUGAAUAUGGUGGAUCAGAGAAAGGGGUAAGUAAGGUGUUUGGCCUAAGCAACUGUAAGGAUGGAGUUAUCAUUACCAAGAAGGAAUAGAUGCUGGAUGAGUGUAUGGGUGAUGGUGGUUACACAAGAGGAUCAGUUCAGUUGGGUCAUCUAAAUUUAAAAUGCUUAUUAGACAUCCAAGUGGUAUGUCAAGUAGGGAGCUGGAUAUACAAAGUUGGAAUUGAGGGAAAUUUUUGGUUUGGAGAUAGAAGUUUCAAACAGCCAAAUUAGCAUGCAAAUGCUAUUGAAAGCGCUGAGGAUGGAAAUAUCUCCAAGAAAGUGACUACAUAUAGGAGAAGUUAUAUCAACUGUACUCAGCACAGCGCCUGGGGGCAAUUGAAGUUUAUAAUUUAUAGAUCCUGGUUUAUUAGGCUGUUCUUGCCUUGUUUUAAAGAAAUACUGGAGACUGGGUAAUUUAUAAAGAAAAGAGGUUUAAUUGGCUUUUGGCUGUACAACAUCUGCUCAGCUUCUGGUGAGGCCUCAGGGAGCUUUUGCCCAUGACGGAAGGUGAAGCAGGAGCAGGCACAUCAAUGGGCAAGAGUGGGAAAAGGAGAGUGAGGUGAGAAGGUCCUAGACUUCUAAACAACCAGAUCUUGCAUUAACUAACUAAGCAAGAACUCAUUUAUCACCAAGGGGAUGGUGCUUAAACCAUUCAUAAGGGAUAUGGCCCCAUGAUACAGUUACCUCCCAUCAGACCCCAUCUCCAACACCGUCAAUCACAUUUCAACAUGAUAUUUGGAGGAGACAAACACUCAAACCGCAUCACCUGAUAACCUUUAAAAGAGCAAUUUCAAUAAAGUAACAAUGGCAGAAGUUAGGUUUCAAGGCAUUAAAGGUAUAAGAGAGAGGAAAUUCAAAUUAAGAGAUAAGUAGAGCUGUGGCUAGAGUCAUAACGAUCUGGUUAUAUUUGUAGCUUGAUUGAAGAAAUGAAAGAAAGGAGUGAAUAAUGGCUUAGGGUACCUACAGUGUGGGAAGAGGGUCAGAGACCGAAGGAAACGAGAGUGAAGGAAGACAGGUUUUUGAGAAGUAAGGGAGACAACUUUUCAACAAAAUGGAAAGUAAUAUUCUCUGAAGGCAGUAAGGGCCCAGGACACCAGGAUAGGAGAUUGAGGAGGAAGAACACAUUUUUAAAAAUCUAGACUGUGGCAGGGAUGGAAGGCAGUGUUGGUUGACAGAGAGUCACAUGAGGCAAAUGAAAAGAUGAGAAGGGCCCAGGCACAGUUGGAACACAGGUCUCCAGUGGGUGUGGUCAGUUGGCACCUGUCCCUGGCUGUGUGAAAGCAAAGACCAAGGAGACUCGUAAAACCUGCAGUUCAGAGUGACCAUGAGGUACCUGGGUGGUUGGUGUGAUCACAGAGGUGUAUUAAACACACUACUUGCACUGGCAAUGAACAUUCUGAAAAGGGAAUUAAGAGAACAAAACCAUUUACAAUAGCAUCAAAAAGGAUUAAAUGCUUAGGAAUAAAUUUAGCCAAAAAAAUGCAAGACAUGUACACUGAAAA